rnacentral:lncRNA from 1 species
GAUAAAAACGAUAAAAUUCAUGCCCAUGGAGUUUAAGGAUAGUUCACGUACCUUAUAUUGUUUAGUUUGAAGAUUUGAAACCCUUGUCUUGACUCUUUUCUUGAAAUCUUGACCUAGAGGUUCAAUUGUUGAAUUUUGGAGGAGAGUUAGGGCUAAGUUCUGGAGAGGAAUUGAGUGAUUAUGGGCAUAUAAUGCCCUAAUGACGAUAUAAUCAGUUGUUUUCACGAUUUGGGAUUAUGGGGAAAGGUCGAACCUGCCCUUCGGAAUUAAAAUUCGCAACUAAAUCCCUCUUUGGAGGACCACCGCAUUGCGAUGAAUGUUUCAUCGUUAUAGUCACCGCGACGCGGUGCAAUCACGGUGACAUUCUGUUUUCAAAUUCCAAACACGCCUCAAACCCGGUCCGAAAAAUUCAAAACUCACCCGAGACAUCCCCUUUACAAACCUGAACAUGAAUUAACUCUAAAAUCUAUGUCUCGAGAUCGAGAAGAUCAAUUUAAAUAUCAUUGGAGUUUAGGAGCUAAAAAUAUGGCUAAGUCGUUAAAUACUUAGAAAAAUUUCAGGUUAUUAGCUCUCUAUGCAUGCUAGUAAGAGUGGUAUCAAGUCGAGAAUGCUACAGGGUGUUACACUAAAAGAUCGUGUAUUUAUUAGUCUCUAACUCUGCAUCAACAGCCUUGUCUCCAUUUUUUCUCUUUGCUUUCUUUCGGUGAACAAGUUGCAAAUUUAUAAGGGUUUUGACGGUUGUCUUGGAUAGUUUUGCCGCCGUGGAAAAUGAUUGCCAACAAUCAAUGGCAGAGAUAUUAUUUUCACUAGGGAGUUCAAUAUAUGAAGGAAGAAACACACGAAAAAGUGAGAGAGGGUUCAAUAUCUACUAUAUAUACAUAAAUAAUAAUUUUAACCAUGUAUAAACGGUGCAAUUUUUUUAAUAUGUGAAAGCUAUUUUGCAAUUGAGGCUUUCCAAUCUUUGACCUAUUCGCCGCAACAGGAUUGGCAGUUAAACAAAGAAACCCAAAGAAUGAAGUUAUGAGAGAUUGAACCACUGACAAAAAGAGGAAGUAUGACAUAAAAGAAAAUAGUAGUAUGCAUGAUCGGUGAACCUCACUUACAUUAACUGAUUGCAAAUACAACCAAAUAUCAUACUUCAAGAGGGUAAAAACAUCGCUAAAGAUUGCACGAAAAAUGUCAGAAAUUGAAGAAAACCUCUAAAGAUUGCACACGAUCACCUCUUAUAUUGCUUAUAUAGAAAUUAGGAGAGAGGAGCGGGCACAAGGAAGUCUAACCUUAUUCCUUUUAUGUGGAAGCUAAUUUUAUAGUAAUUAGAGAGGUGCGACGAAUUUAAGUUCUCUCAUAUUAAAUAAGAACAAAAGAGAAGCUGUCAAUUUAAUCAUGAAAACAAGUAGCUACAUCAAUUAAAGACAAUAAAGACAACUGCAGGAAUUAAAGUUUUGACUCAAAAGCAAGUCAAGCAUAGAACAGGUCAUAGCUUCAAGCUAAAUCAUUCAAACGCGGGAUUAAUUUUUGGAAGACGAUGAGGCGAGUAAAGUCUUCACUGUGCUUGCUAAUUGUUACGUUUGCAACUGAAUCAGAAGAUUACAGUGGCUUUUUAAACACAAGGAGGCAAAAAAAAAAACAGAUGUACGGAGUCAUUUGGCGCAAACUUCUGGAAGCAUCACCAAUACCAAAUGAUGACUCCGUACAUCAAAAUUCAUUACCUCCUUGUGGUCAAAAAGUCAUGCGUAAUCUUCGUAUCCAGUGGCUAACAUAACGAUCAGAAACCAAAUAAAGUCUUUACUUGCCUCGUCAUCUACCAACAAUCAUUUUUUACGCAAUUCAUCCCUUGAACCUCGUCCACAUUUCUCCAUUGCUCACAACUCCAAGAGUAUAAACCUGCAAUUCAGACACUUUUGGACUUCCAAGAAAAUUUCUAACUACGAAUUUAAAUAUCAAUACUUCACAAGGGUUGAGAAUCAAUGUUCAAUGUCAUCCUAUUUAUUUGUCUAUGGAUGAUUCUAUAUUCUUCUAGAUGCAUCUACAAGAAAAAUCUAGAUAACUUUUACCUUAUAGCUAUCUAAGAAUAAUCUAGAGAUUUCUAAAUGGAUCUAUAAGAACAAUCUAGAUAAGUUUUACCUAAUGGCUAUGUAAG